CCGUACCUGACACACCUAUAGCUGCCCCCUCAGUGGGCCCCUUCCUUUUUCUCUCUCCUGUGGUGGAAUAAGAAGCAGAAGCGCGAACGGGUACUCCCGUAAGACAACAGAUGCUGAGCUGGUUGCUUGUCGAGCUCUCUCCCUGCCUUCGUCGAUCCCCUCUCCAUGGAUCCAUUUGGGGAAGGAAUCGAAUUCAACCUUCAAAUUGACCUCGGACGAAUAACAGACCUGAAGAAUCAUUAGAUCGAGGGAGACUGACGUCCUCUGUUUUGCAUAAAAGAACCAUUCUGCAAUGCCUCUCUACAAGCAGACAACCAUCACAGAUCAUAAACAUGUGUUUACGUCAGAAGUCUGGGAUGACAGAUAGGUAGAUGGAUGGAUGAAUGGAAGAUAUGUUCGAAGGAAGACCUUUGUUGUCGCCAAUUACAGCGUGUCAGACUGUCUUCCUCGUCCCGUUUCGUGCAGGGCCACCAGCUAUGACUGUCUGCUUGUAGAGGCAUGCGGGCGUAGCGGUAGCAGCAGCGGCACAUGGGGGGCCAUGUUGAAGCUACGAUGGAGGGUGGCGUACGGGGGUUUGGAAGACAGCCUUGAGGAGGAGGCAGAAGGAAACGCCUCCCCACAUACAGCGACAUGGGUUAGUCAUUUCAACCUGUUGCCUCGGUCGUCUGGAUAUGAACUCUUGAGGCGAUGGCAUUCAUGGCCGCGGGGGGGAAAUCAGCGUGGUUUUGCGGCGGCGCAAGAGUCAACGACGGUCGGAUCCAACAGUCUCAUUACUUCAGGAUUCGUGAAUCACGAAAUCAACGACCAGAAUCUCCGUUGCUGUUUCUCUAGAUCAGCCAAAUUGAUUCAUGGAUUCCAUCGACUCGGAGAACGAGACUAAUUCGUGGAGAAGACAAGAAUUUGACACGGGACUCGGGAGACCGUAUCAAACUCGAGCUCAAUAAAUCGCGAGUCCUGCAGCUGUAGCGGAUUAAAUAAAGAGGCCAAUUGCCCUUCGUUCCUCCUCUCUCUAUCGCUCAUGAUUACUCCUGCCAAAAACCCCGCCUUUCGCCUGUUCUUCUUUUGCUUUUGAAUCCCUCUUUUUCUCUCACUCACAUGGCGGAGGCGCGAUGGGUUAAAGUGGGGAGGAAGAAGUGCCGGAAUGCUUUCCCAGUUCCCGAGAAAGGAGCGAUUUUGAUCUCGGCCCGGUGGAGAAGUUCGCGGAAAUGACUUCCAACUCCUUUUUCUGAGCUGCAAUUUUUCUGGAAGCCGCCAGGGCGACUCCUUUUUUGGUCCAUCGUCUUGCUUGGUGGUAUAAAGGAGUGAUAUUGCUCGAAUAUUUAAGGUGGUGGAAAUAGGUCGGAGGUUGAUAGGGUUUUGAAGGGUUUAAGGCGUUUCGUACCGUGUGUCUCGUGACAACGAUGGCAGAAGAGGGAUUUGGAGCGAAGGUUCGUGUGGUGCGGUGCCCCAAAUGCGAGAAACUUCUCCCAGAGCUCGCCGACUUCUUGGUGUACCGCUGCGGUGGAUGCGGCACUACUCUGCAAGCCAAGAAAGCUGUUCCAGGCAUGGGGAUUUCGCCCGAGAAAUCUGAUGGGGAAAACAUCAAAUACCUUGAGGUGUUGGAGCAUAAUACAGAGAAGAAGGGGAUCGCUUCAAACGCAAGCACUGAGACCGAUCACGAGGUCGGUAGAGCUGAGAGCAGGAUAAGGGAGUCACUACCGCAUGGUAAAUCCAUGACUGAAGGUGAAGAUAGUGGUCUGAUGAAUAAACUCAUCACCUCAAAGUUGGACAGUAUUCCCAUGGAAAAUGGAACCGACACCCGAAAUGUGACUGCAUUUGGUAAACCAGAGAUAGAGAGUGGAAGAGACACCAAACUACAUGUAGACGAACCUCGUUUACCUCAGCCAACACUAGCCCGGAGAGCCGAAGAGAGGGAUCAAGCACCGAGAGAUACCACGGUAGAUGUUCAGCCUGUUCCUCUUCUUGAUGAAGGCCCAACUGAUCGUCAUCGGAAUCCAAGCCAUGUUUACGGCAAUGGUGAGGGUCGAAGUAGGCAGACCAUGGAUGAUGCUAGCAAAGUAGGCUACCUUGAACAAGACAGAGCAAAGCUUCUGAGAAUGCUUGAUGAGCUGAGAGAUCAAGUACAGCAAACUUGUGAGGCCUCAGACAAGAAGAAGACAAGUGCUCCUGUGGAUAGGAUGGCAGGUUCGUCGAGUUGCUAUGGCCAACAUGACCAUGCUACAUGGUUUCCUGAGAGCUCAUCAUCAUCAUACCUGAAUCAAUCUCGUUGUUUCCCAAUACCGCAUGAUCAUAAUACAGCCAUGCUAAAUUUUUAUUCUAAUGUGCCAAUUCAGAGUGACAUAGCUGGUUAUGGGGAUCCAUUUGUUCAUAAGAGAGUUCCCUUCCACCUAUCCAGUGAGUAUCCACAGAGACAAGUGGACAGUUUCCUUUAUGGACAGUUUGAAUCUGAUCCUGUUAUGCCUUAUUAUCAUGAUGGUUUCUGUCAUCAGCCCGCGUGCUCAUGUUUGCAUUGCUACCAGAGACCAUUUUCGCUUCCUGCAAGAGCCCCACCGACAGUCUUGGGUCAUCAGAGGACUCCAUAUCCUGUCAAUAAUCAUGAGUUCUAUGCAGUUGAUGGUCCCUCAAUUUUUGGUACCAGAAGCUCUAAUUUAAGGGUUGGUAAUGCCCCCUUGCAUAGACUAGAGCCAAGAUCACACUGUAGAAUCAAGUUCAGCAAGAAUAAUGCACGAUCCUGUCGACCCAUUGAUGGUGCUGCCCCAUUUACUAUUUGUUCUAGUUGUUUUGAACUGCUGCAACUACCUGAAAAAUCAUUGCCGCUGAAAAAGAAUAAGUUUAAGCUGCGUUGUGGAUCUUGCUUUAAGUUAAUGACAAUCCAGUAUGAUGGAAGCAGGAUCGUUAUAUCUGCCCCCACUCCAGACUCGCAUAUGUCUUCUGUGAAUAAUAACUCCUCCCUUAAUAGCCCAGUCAAUGGUGCCCUGUCUACUGAUGAAAAACUAGUUCUGCCUUACAUUUUCACAAUUAAUGAUCAUGAGAUGAUUGAAAAGGGACACGGUCAACACUUGAGUGAAUCAGAAAAAAUGCAUGGUUUCUCCUUGUCAUCUAGUACAUCUGGACAUGCUGACAGCCCAGAAAGUGUGAUUUCGCAGAAGGAUGUUCCUACCUCACCUGGGGUCCCUUUAGAAGCUCAGGUGAUUUCUCGAGUUUCAAGUUUGCCACUUCGUGAACAUUUUGGCUACUCACUGUCUGAUGAAGCAGCUGAUGGAUCUGGAAAUGGAAGCGGGAGUAAACGUUCUGAUCAUGUGAGAAAUCUAUCAUUAAGUGGAAACUUCAGGCAAAAUUCAACAAAAGAUGUACUAGUGGCUACUGAGAGGGGCUUGUCAGAGGAUGAGGAUUUACCUGCUGGUUUGUCUCAAGAUUCAUGGGAUAUGGCAAGUAAAGAUGAAACUCAACCUAGGAUCAUCAAGGCUGGUGAUUCAUUCUUUGCUGGCCUUAUAAAGAAGAGCUUUCGGCCUUUUAACCAAUCAGUAGGUCAUGGUAGAUUUAAAGUUUCAAUUAACAGUCACCAAAUCCCUGAUCGUCUAGUUAAAAAGGCUGAAAAGCAAGCCGGUCCAAUCUAUCAUGGUGAUUAUUGGUAUGACUACCGUGCUGGAUUUUGGGGUGUGAUGGGGCAUCCAUGUCUUGGGAUAAUUCCUCCAUUUAUUGAAGAAUUCAAUUAUCCUAUGCCCAAGAACUGUGCCGGGGGAAAUACUGGUGUUCUUGUGAAUGGGAGAGAACUUCAUCAGAAGGAUUUGGAUUUGCUCAUUGGUCGAGGAUUGCCAGUGACCAGAGAUUGUUCCUAUAUAAUUGAGAUUUCUGGUAAAGUCUGGGAUGAGUCAUCUGGUGAAGAGAUAGAUAGUCUUGGCAAACUUGCUCCAACAAUUGAGAAGGUGAAGCAUGGUUUUGGCAUGCGUGUCCCCAAAGUGUUUGCUUAAGUGAUGAGCUUAAUGGUUGAUGUUGAUGGCACCAAAGUAUCUGAAGGAGAUUUCAAUUCCAUGGAUGCAAAGGACAUCAUGUUUGAGAGGAACGCAUAUAGCUGGUGUGCUUCAGUUGUCGCCUGCACUCUCUUGUAUCUUUAAAGGAAUACACGUAGGAUCUGAUAUGCAGCCCAAGGCCAAUGCUUACUGGUUGUAAUAUUGAAUCAGCUCAUGGAUGUAAGAGCAACCUGAUGAUCUGGGUGGAAUAUUGUCCCUGUAAAAUAGAUUCAUCGGCUAUCGAGUUGGCUGCACUGAGGGAUCUAAAUUAUCUCACUCAUGUUGGUGCUAUCAAUGUAAGAUUGUAACUCUCCUUAGAUCUUGUGUGGGAAUUUGAGUUUGACUAAGUCUCUAAUAACAUACAAGAAGUCUGUAUGAGAUCUGCAUGCCA